rnacentral:ribozyme from 13 species
AGAAAGAAAGAAAGAAAGAAAGAAAGAACGAAAGAACGAAAGAAAGAAAGAGACUUAGCAGGGGUGUUGUCUUCGUUUUUUUGCUGCUUCUCAACAGCAUUCUCUUUGACUUUCAGUCU